rnacentral:rRNA from 1 species
CAUGGUUGUCGUCAGCUCGUGUCGUGAGAUGUUGGUUAAGUCCCGCAACGAGCGCAACCCUUGUCUUCAGUUACCAUCAUUCAGUUGGGGGACGUCUGGAGAGACUGCCGGUGACAAACCGGAGGAAGGUGGGGAUGACGUCAAAUCAUCAUGCCCCUUAUGACCUGGGCUACACACGUACUACAAUGGCGUAUACAACGGGAAGCGAAAUGGUGACAUGGAGCAAAUCUCACAAAGUACGUCUCAGUUCGGAUUGAAGUCUGCAACUCGACUUCAUGAAGUCGGAAUCGCUAGUAAUCGCGGAUCAGCAUGCCGCGGUGAAUACGUUCUCGGGUCUU